rnacentral:misc_RNA from 1 species
UUUCCGUAGGUGAACCUGCGGAAGGAUCAUUAACGAUUUAGGGUCUACCAGGCCCGACCUCCCAACCCUAUGUUUAUUGAACCUCUGUUGUUUCGGCGGACCCGCCUCACGGCCGCCGGAGGACCGCUGCAAGCCGUCCUCUGUCCAGCGUCCGCCGAUGGCCAACCACUUAAUCUCUGAAUGAUUCUUGUCAUAUGUCUAAGUCUAUUAUUAAAUUAAAGCAAAACUUUCAACAACGGAUCUCUUGGCUCUG